UUUACUUUUUGACAGAUUUGCAGACGAUAAAAAUCAUAAGAUUGCUCGAUUUAAUUCAAAGUUUUGGGUUCCUGGAACUCUAGGAGUCGACGCUUUCGCUUUCGACUGGUCAGGAGAAAACAAUUGGAUUGUGCCCCCGGUUGGGUUAGUUUGCCGAGUACUAAAUCAUAUGUUAACUUGUCGAGCAAAAGGUGUAUUGAUAGUUCCUAAAUGGACGUCUGCUUUGUUUUGGCCUAUGGUUUGGAACAACACGGAAAAUAAAUUUUACGAUUUUAUUACAGAUUUUGUUGAAUUUGAUCGUCCAAAACAUUUCUUUUUAUCUGAUUCAGACAAAGACAGUGUGUUCGCUCAAUCCCCAUUCAUCAGUAACGUCCUCGUUUUUAAACUUGAUUGUUCAUCAUAGGAGGUCACAUUCUUUUGUACGGUUCAGUGCACUUUUUUACUAUCGGUUGUAAAUUUAUUACUACAAGGUAAAAUAAACGUGUCUAGGUAACUACUACGGAAUUGACCAUACGCUUACAUCUGUAUACAUUAUUAGUUAUAUAAAUUGAUAGAAUGGAGAUGCAUCUUGUGCAGUUUAUGUUUGAGAAGCACCUUGUGCAGUUUAUGAUUGAGAAGCACCUUGUGCGGUACCUUGUGUGGUUUAACAGUAAGAAUGCACCUUGUGCGGUUAAAAAAUGAAAUAUGUACAGUGUGCGGUUAUUGGAUAAAAAUGCACAUCGUGCAGUUGUUAAAGAUGCACUUUGCAUGAUUGUUAUGUUAUUAUGAUGUUUUUUGAUUAUUUAGCUAAGUUGUUGUGCUUAGUUCUAUUUAUGUUUCAUUAUUACAGGGCAGUGUAACAUGGAGGGAAAUUUCUCAGUUUGCGGAUUCAAAUCAACAAUUUAUUGGAUGUGAAAAAAGCAUUUUCAAUAUUGUGAGAAGCAGUAAAGCAAUUUCUACAAAUAAAAAGUAUGAUGUGUAUUUCAAAAAAUUUAAAGAAUGGUGUGUUACAUAUAAAGUUAUUCCGUUGCCCGCAAGUGUAUCAUCUGUUGCAGUUUAUAUUAGUGGCCUUGUACAGCAAUCCGUAUCUGAGUCAGUUUUAUUAGCUCAUUUUUAUAGCAUAAAGUGGUAUCAUGAUUUCAAUUUAGUGUAUAAUCCGUGCGAAGACAAGCUUAUUCAGAUGAUGAUCGAAGGAGCGAAGAAAAUCCUUGGUAAACCAAUAUUGAAAAAAGAACCAAUUACAGCAGAUCAUUUACAGAAGAUAGUAGACAAAAUUGGCAUUGAUCGUUCUCAUUUGCCGAAUGUUAGAAUUUGUACAAUGAUGUUAGUCGGUUAUGCAGGAUUUUUACGCUACAGUGAGAUUGCAAAUUUAAAGAUGUCUAACAUAAAAAUUUUUGACACUUAUGUUUCUUUGAAUAUUGAAUCCGGGAAAACUGAUGUAUAUAGAAGGGGAAAUAAUGUUAUAAUUUCUAGAACAAAUUUGUCUACCUGUCCAGUUGUCUGGUUAUUGACAUACAUUAAUUUAGCUAAACUGUCUUCAGAUUCUGAUGAAUAUGUUUUCCGUUCUGUUAGAUGUUUGAAGUCAACAAAUUCUUAUAAGUUAGCAGAAGUUAAUCGUCCUUUAUCUUAUACAAGAGCUAGGGAAUUACUUUUGGGCACAUUAUCUGCGAUUGGUCUUGAUUGUAAACUAUUUUGUCUACAUAGUUUGCGCAGCGGUGGUGCCACUGCUGCUGCAAGAAAUGGUGUUUCUGAUCGUUUAAUUAAAGAACAUGGAAGGUGGCGUACCGAUUUUGCUAAAGACGGUUAUAUCAAAGAUUCUGUUAAAAAGCAACUAACGGUUUCGUCAAAUCUUGGUAUAUAACGAGUUAUAAGACAUUUUUUCUUUUGGUGUUAUUAUUUACUCACAUUAUUCAGCUCACGUACACCAUUACUUAACUAUUUUCCCUUUGUCUCGAGGUUAUAGCGAGUAGCACACCUACAUUAAAUCUUUUGUUCUUUGUUAAGGCCAUAGAAUAUAAUUACUUUAUAUUCGGACGAACGUAGUGAGGGAGAAUAUAAAUAAAAUUUAGUUCGUUGUCCGUUCAUGAAUAUUCAUGACAUGUGACCAUUCGUUUGCACUUUAAACCCGUGCGGUCAUCUUUCUGACCAUCGACUCUCGCUAUAGCCUAAACAAGAGACACGUGUAUUCACGGAUGAUUUAAUAUAUAUUUGUAUUUGUAAUUAUGAUUACUAUAAUUAUCAUGUUUGUAUUUGAUACAUAAGAUAUAGAAUUAAAGGUUAUAGCGAGUAGCACA